GUAGGGUGCGAGCGUUAAUCGGAAUUACUGGGCGUAAAGCGUGCGCAGGCUGUUUUGUAAGUCAGAUGUGAAAUCCCCGAGCUCAACUUGGGAACUGCGUUUGAAACUACAAGACUAGAAUAUGUCAGAGGGGGGUAGAAUUCCACGUGUAGCAGUGAAAUGCGUAGAGAUGUGGAGGAAUAUCAAUGGCGAAGGCAGCCCCCUGGGAUAAUAUUGACGCUCAUGCACGAAAGCGUGGGGAGCAAACAGGAUUAGAUACCCUGGUAGUCCACGCCCUAAACGAUGUCAACUAGUUGUUGGUAGAGUAAAAUCUAUGAGUAACGCAGCUAACGCGUGAAGUUGACCGCCUGGGGAGUACGAUCGCAAGAUUA
rnacentral:rRNA from 1 species